rnacentral:lncRNA from 1 species
AUGUAUCUAUAUCUUCUCAGCCUAUCAAUUAACUCCUAUAAAUCUGCUACUAAUUGAUGCUGUAUUACAAAGACAGAAACUGAUAUAUUACAAUAUAUUUGUUACCUAAUUAGAUCCAUUUAUAAUAUUGACCAGUAUCAUGGUGAGGAUCUUUGAUUUUCUUAACACUCCCCGUCAUGUUGGUAAGUAAAUAUUGUGAAUUUCCAACUUGGCCAACAAAGAGUAAAAUCUUUCCUUUUCGAGAGCUAUAGUGAAUAUAUCAGCAAGUUGUGACAUGGAUGGAACAAACUUUUUUAUGAUCUUUCCUUCCAUAAUUUUAUCUCAAACAAAAUGAUAGUCAAUCUCGAUGUGUCUUGUUCACUCGUGAAAUACCGGAUUUGCUGCAAUAUGAAGAGUAGCUUGAUUGUCACAAAACAAUGUAAUUGGCCCUUGAAUUUGAACUUGCAGGUCUUGAAAAAGGUUUUGUAGUCAUGUAAGCUCACAACAUGUUGUUGCCAUGCAUCUAUACUCGGUUUUGGCAAAAGAUAAAUAUGCAGUUUUCUGAAGUUUGCUUUUUCAUGAGAUAAGACAAUUUUCAAGGAAAACACAGUAACUAGUUGUUAAACGUUGGGUAGUUGGACAUCAAGCCCAAUCAGAGUCACAAUAUGCUUUCAACUUCAAUGUAUUUUGAGAAGAGAACAUCAUGCCUUAUCCCUGUGUGCCUUUUAGAUACUUCAAAAUCCAUAGGGCAGCUUCGUAAUGAGGCUUUCGAGGUGACUGUAUAAAUCUACUCAAUAAAUGGACAGAAUAUGUAAUGUCUUGCCGUAUAAUAACAAGAUAUAUCAAUCAACCAAUCAAUCUUCUAUACUUGGCCGGAUCAUCUAAUGGAUCACCAUCAUCAGGAAGCUAUUUAAGACUUUGUUCCAUAGGAAAGCUUGUAGGUCGCGAUCCUAAAAACUCAACAUCAUUCAAAAUAUCCAACAGAUAUUUUCUACAGUAAAAGGUAAAGGUGAGAGUGAAAAUUACCAAAAAAACAAAAAAGUAUGAACGUUUUCUACAAAAACCUUGAAAG